CAGCCGUCCACAUAGGUCAGGUCACGAUGUCCCUGUAAAUCUCUAAUAAGACAAAUGUUAUUUUCUAUUCUGCAGCUUUUUCUCUUCAUGCAGGGGAAAG